rnacentral:rRNA from 1 species
UGGGAAUAUUGCACAAUGGGCGCAAGCCUGAUGCAGCCAUGCCGCGUGUGUGAGAAGGCCUUCGGGUUGUAAAGUACUUUCAGUAGGGAGGAAGGUGGUUAAGUUAAUACCUUAAUCAUUUGACGUUACCUACAGAAGAAGCACCGGCUAACUCCGUGCCAGAACCGCGGUAAA